rnacentral:rRNA from 1 species
GACGAACGCUGGCGGCGUGCCUAAUACAUGCAAGUCGAACGCACUCUCGUUUAGAUUGAAGGAGCUUGCUCCUGAUUGAUAAACAUUUGAGUGAGUGGCGGACGGGUGAGUAACACGUGGGUAACCUGCCCUAAAGUGGGGGAUAACAUUUGGAAACAGAUGCUAAUACCGCAUAAAACCUAACACCGCAUGGUGUAGGGUUGAAAGAUGGUUUCGGCUAUCACUUUAGGAUGGACCCGCGGUGCAUUAGUUAGUUGGUGAGGUAAAGGCUCACCAAGACCGUGAUGCAUAGCCGACCUGAGAGGGUAAUCGGCCACACUGGGACUGAGACACGGCCCAGACUCCUACGGGAGGCAGCAGUAGGGAAUCUUCCACAAUGGACGAAAGUCUGAUGGAGCAACGCCGCGUGAGUGAAGAAGG